CCUACGUGAGGCUGCAGUGGGGAAUAUUGGGCAAUGGGCGCAAGCCUGACCCAGCAACGCCGCGUGAAGGAAGAAGGCUUUCGGGUUGUAAACUUCUUUUCUCAGGGACGAAGCAAGUGACGGUACCUGAGGAAUAAGCCACGGCUAACUACGUGCCAGCAGCCGCGGUAAUACGUAGGUGGCAAGCGUUAUCCGGAUUUACUGGGUGUAAAGGGCGUGUAGGCGGGAAAGCAAGUCAGAUGUGAAAACCAUGGGCUCAACCUGUGGCCUGCAUUUGAAACUGUUUUUCUUGAGUACUGGAGAGGCAGACGGAAUUACUAGUGUAGCGGUGAAAUGCGUAGAUAUUAGGAGGAACACCAGUGGCGAAGGCGGUCUGCUGGACAGCAACUGACACUGAGGCGCGAAAGCGUGGGGAGCAAACAGGAUUAGAUACCCGUGUAGUC
rnacentral:rRNA from 1 species